AAACGAUGGUGACAAGUUUGAAUGCGACAACAGUUAAAAAGGACUGGAGACCACAGCAGCGAUUCUGCUCUUGCCCAACCUCUUCAACGAGGAACCGAGUGGCCUUUAUGUCCAUGACAAGAUUUCACCACUCUUCACUCCUUUACUGCACAUCGGUG